AAUGAACGUUGGCGGCGUGGAUUAGGCAUGCAAGUCGUGCGGAAAGGCUCCUUCGGGAGUACUCGAGCGGCGAAAGGGGGAGUAACGCGUGGAUAUCUACCCCCUGGACUGGGAUAGCGGCGGGAAACUGCCGGUAAUACCAGAUAAUGUCUGCGGACCAAAGGUGUGAUUCCGCCGGGGGAUGAGUCCGCGUCCUAUUAGCUAGUUGGUGGGGUAGUGGCCCACCAAGGCAAAGAUGGGUACCGGGUGUGAGAGCAUGGCCCGGCUCACUGGGACUGAGACACUGCCCAGACACCUACGGGUGGCUGCAGUCGAGAAUCUUCGGCAAUGGGCGCAAGCCUGACCGAGCGACGCCGCGUGCGGGAUGAAGGCCUUCGGGUUGUAAACCGCUGUCAGAGGGGAGGAAAUGCAUGAGGGUUCUCUCUCAUGCUUGACCUAUCCUCAGAGGAAGUACGGGCUAAGUUCGUGCCAGCCGCCGCAGUAAAAC
rnacentral:rRNA from 1 species